UACGAAGGGGGCUAGCGUUGCUCGGAAUUACUGGGCGUAAAGCGCACGUAGGCGGAUUGCUAAGUCGGGGGUGAAAUCCCGGAGCUCAACUCCGGAACUGCCUUCGAUACUGGCGAUCUUGAGUCCGGGAGAGGUGAGUGGAACUGCGAGUGUAGAGGUGAAAUUCGUAGAUAUUCGCAAGAACACCAGUGGCGAAGGCGGCUCACUGGCCCGGUACUGACGCUGAGGUGCGAAAGCGUGGGGAGCAAACAGG
rnacentral:rRNA from 1 species